rnacentral:snRNA from 1 species
AAUCGUGAUUAUUCCAAUUUUUGUCUUUGGGAGGACGGCCCUCUGGGCUUGCCCACGGUCGACCUCCACUGUGUCCUCGGUACCACACUGCCUCCGAGUGACGCGAACCAUC